rnacentral:rRNA from 1 species
GAUGAACGCUGGCGGCGUGCCUAAUACAUGCAAGUCGAGCGAACGGACGAGAAGCUUGCUUCUCUGAUGUUAGCGGCGGACGGGUGAGUAACACGUGGAUAACCUACCUAUAAGACUGGGAUAACUUCGGGAAACCGUAGCUAAUACCGGAUAAUAUUUUGAACCGCAUGGUUCAAAAGUGAAAGACGGUCUUGCUGUCACUUAUAGAUGGAUCCGCGCUGCAUUAGCUAGUUGGUAAGGUAACGGCUUACCAAGGCAACGAUGCAUAGCCGACCUGAGAGGGUGAUCGGCCACACUGGAACUGAGACACGGUCCAGACUCCUACGGGAGGCAGCAGUAGGGAAUCUUCCGCAAUGGGCGAAAGCCUGACGGAACAACGCCGCGUGAGUGAUGAAGGUCUUCGGAUCGUAAAACUCUGUUAUUAGGGAAGAACAUAUGUGUAAGUAACUGUGCACAUCUUGACGGUACCUAAUCAGAAAGCCACGGCUAACUACGUG